rnacentral:snoRNA from 1 species
CCCCCUUUAAAAGCACUCAGUGGGCCUUUUGCUAGUGACCCACUGAACCAUCAAGAAGGGGCAGAGUAAAAACACUGCUUUUGGGUGAAGUAGCAACUUGUGUUGUUUUACUUCAAUUGGUGUGACAAGG